rnacentral:lncRNA from 10 species
GCAGAUUUAAGGAGCGUAUUCAGAAAGAAGUGUAGUUAAGCCUGUUUUUGGACAUUUAGAGAGCAUGAUCACUUUGCCCAAAACCGAAAAGGAGCACUGGCCUUAAGUGGAAUACGGAGGUGGAGGAAUUUGUUUUCCAGGCUCCCCAGCAUUUCUUUCUUCAUCCUCUUCCAAACAAUCACUGAUCCUGCUCCCCUUCUCCCUUGCUUCUUGGGAUGACGAAGCAGCUGACAAAUCCAUUAAGUCGUGAGAAUUUUCUCUUACUCCUCCCAGCAGGAUAUCAGGAAGAGAAGACUCUCAAAUGUUGAAAUUUCAAAUGUGGGCGAGGAAGUGACAUUUAUUACCGCACACAGAAGAGAAUGAGCCAAGAGGUGCUGCAGGAGUUCAGAGGCAAGAGAGAGGAAUGUGGCCUGAUAUGCACAGAAGACUUCAUGAAGGAGCUGGCUGAAAUGCAAUGAUUCCCAGGGAAACUUGGAACCCAUGUGUUGAAGGUGGUAGCACUUCCAUCAGCCUGGGUCCUGAAUGCCUGCAGGAGAAUAUCCUUUUGAUCCAUGUACCUGCCGAGGACUGAUAGAAGAGAGCUGUCAUGUUUGAAAACAGAAGUGAAGAUAUCCCUGGAGAGUUAGUGAAGGUCAUUGAUGGAAGCUCCAGGAGAGAGUGGGGAUAAUGGAAGGAAUAAAGUUAUCCACAUCUCAUCUUAAAGCUAGCAUCUUUAAUACAGUAUAACCAAGAUGAUUCCUGAAGGAAUACUCCACCUGAACUCAAGAGUAGUUGCUUACCAAGAAGAAGCAGUUCAAUUGUUCCUAAAACAUAUAAUUUGUCUAUCUGUAUAGUUCGACUUUUAGAUAAGGAUUAUAAUUUUCAAAUAUUAACUAUUUUCCAUUUAUGUAUCUAGAAGGAACAGCUGAACUAAUAUAAAAGCAUAUGUUUUGUGGACAUUGUCACAUAAUAGUUUGCCUAUCCACUACAGCUCAAAUUUCCAGGAAAAGAUUGUUUCAGUUUUCAACCAUUAACUUUAUCUUCCAUGCCUAUGUAUCUUAGCAUCUCCAAAUCUUAAGCAAAGAGAGAAAAUUAAAAAGGAUGUAAGUUGUUCUCAAGGACAUAAUCCUUAGGGUGAUGGAAAUGUUCUGUGUCUUGAUUGUAGUGGGGGUUAUACAACUAUAUGUGUAUGUCAAAAUUCAUAGAGCUGUACAACUAAAAAGGGUGAAAUUUACUGCCUGCAAAGGAUGCCUCAAUAAACCUGACGUAAAUCAAAGCCAAAAAAACCCAAAAUUCUUGAACACCUCCUCUGACAUUGUGGUAGGGUACGUAAGCACAUAAAAAAACAGAUUUCAGUCUUAAAGACUGAAAUAUGAAAGUAAAGUUCCAGUGUUAUCAUCUAAAUUACCAUAGAAAAAUUUUCCUAGGACACUUCGUUUCUGUUGUGCCUUAUCAGUGACAGCUCUUUGAACCCUUCGACCUGACCAGUUAGGAAAAGUACAAAGGAAGGGCCCUAUCUUUUAGCCAUCUUGUUGACUGGAUGCAGAAGGAAUACUUCCUUUAACCACUGGGGCAACAGUUAAGUUUGCUCAGAUACAAUCUCAUGCAGCAUGAUGUUUUUAAGAUAGUCUCUGUGAUUUUCCAGACUCUAGGUUGUGCUCGACAGAAACUCAGCUCCUGCCCAGACCCUUGCCUAGCUUGCAUCCUUGCUUCAUUCAGGUCUCUGCUCAAAUGUCCCUUGGCAGAAAGGCCUCCUUAUCAGCCCUAUUGCAAAUGACCAUAUUUGUGAAUUGGCUGCCUCUCUCACUAGACUGGAAGUUCCAUGAAGGCUUCAUCUUUUCUCUUAAGUUCCAUAGCCCCAGCACUAGAGCAGUGUUUGGCAUACAGUAGGUGUUCGCGAACCAUUUAAAGUGAAGAGGAGAAUCGAUUGGCCUCUGAAUCUAAACCACAGUAAAAGGGAGGAAUAAUUAGAACUAGGGACUUGAAUGCACGCAGAGUUCACUUUGGUCAUUCACCUGCCAUUCUCUCUGGUGUCUCCUUCCUACUCUCAAUGAUCCACAUAGUGGCUGCCUUGGAACCUCCAGGCUUAUCAUAUCACAACUCCACAAUCAGAGGGGAAACAGUCUUUCUCGCUCAGCUCCAGGUUGCAUAACCCCGGGAAAUGUUCUGAUUGGCCUGUCUCCCAGUGACAUACAGAGGAGGCCAGGACUGAGCCACAGUGUAUCUGCUCUUUUCCUCAUUUCUCACUCUCCAAUCCUGCCUGCUCCAUCUAUUUUGGUGAUGUUGCCCCAGUUUUAAUAAUGAUGCUUUACAGCCCAUUGCAGAUGCUGUUAGAACUCUGCCAUUAUCCCCCUGGAUCCCUUUAGUAUUUUUGCUCACACCUGCUUCCUGCAUGACAUGCAUUCGCUCUCAACAGCAACACCUGCCGAUCCUUGCUGGCGGGCUGCCCUAGGCUACUAGCACCUGCUUUGCCUGUGCAAUAAGAGAGUUCGAAGUGCCUCUAGGGGUAGCCCUUGACUGAUGACUGACAGCCUAGGAGUAUAAACGCUGCAGUCCCUUUACUCAUGAUGGAAACAACUCUGAGAUGUGACCUCCACAUGUCCCCAGAACUCCCUCAGCAUGGAGCCUAAGUUACCCUCCAUGGGGAUUUGCUGGAUGCUGCACCCUUGCUUGGCCUCCUUCCCAUCCCAGUCCCACUUCCCAUUCUCUACUUGGGAAUAUCUACUAAAUAAAUAACUUUCACAUGAAUUUGCAGUCUUCAUCCGGAGAACCCCACCUACAACAAGCUCCAUCUUUGCCCCUAGCUCUCCACCUAUUUGUCAUAAGAUUUUUUUUGAGGGCAGGUACCUUGGCAUAGUUUCCUGCCUCCCCUCCACACAUAUGCACUACAGAAAUGUUUACUUAUUUGCUUUUAAUAUGUUCCUAUCCUUAGAGUUCCUUCCUAUUUUCCAGGUUUCCCUGUUUCAACUAUCAUUGCUUCUCAGAUAUGCUAAUUUUCUUGCUUUGCUUAUUACUGAUGGCUUGUCUAUCUGCCCUCUCUAAUUCAACAUGUUAAACAUUCCUAAGUCAUAAGUCAAAUACCAUAUGUUCUCACCUAUAGGUGGGAGCUAAGCUCUGGGUAUGCAUAGACAUACAGAGUAGUAUAAUGGACAUUGGAGACUCAGAAGGGAAGGGUGGGAGGGGGACGAGGGAUAAAAACUAUAUAUUGGGUACAAUGUACACUAUUCUGGUGACAGGUACAAUCAAAUCUCAGACUUCACCGCUAUACAAUGCAUCUAUGUAACCAAAACCCCCUUGCACCUCAAAAGCUAUUGAAAUUAAAACAAAAAAACUAUUACUAACAUGGAGACAAACUAAUUUCUUUGAAAAAUGUAAACCAUUUAAAAGGCAAAUAUUACCAAAUCUAUUCACCAUCUUCCUUAUCUGGCCUUGAAGGACUAUUUAUGCACUAUUUAACCCAGUUGACCUGACCAGUGGACCUGGUUUUCCACAGAAGUGGCUAGAUUCUUUGAAGUUAAUGUUGGACUUGAUUUUUUAAAAGCAGGCCCUGAAAAAUUUUAAAGGACUAUAUGUCCAGAAUAUUAUAAAAUCAACAAAAAGAAACAUUCCUUGUAUUUUCCUCUUAUUUUCUAUACCUUUCUUCUAUGUUUUGCAUUAGGUGCUUGCUCAAGAUCUCAGUCAUGCUUUGACUCAGUUUAACAGUCAAAUCAUUACUAAUCGUACUACCUUUUCAUAGUUCACACUUCUAAAAUAUUAACUUGUAAAAGAAGGAAUGCGAUAAAGCCAUCAGAACACCAAGUGGUGUCUUUAUUUCUUAAUCAUUUUCUAAAACAUUACUUAAUUCAGUUGAAUUCAGAGAAACUUUUAGUAAUUCUUAUCAGAUGAAUUUAUAUACAUACCAUUGUGGAAAAUAAAAUAACUUGUGAGCAUCUUUGAUACAGCCUCAAUCAACAUUGAUGUUGAAACCAGAGGCUGUAAGUUUCAAAUAGCAGUUUAUGAGAAAACAUGGAGAGAAAUUUUAAGAUGUUGGCGUGAACACUUCUGACAAUGUAAAACACUCGGCUAACCAUUGCCCUUUGCUUCGACAGAUAAGAAGUUUAGCAAAUAUUUACAUACCAGUUUUCACAACAUUUAAGCUAAAUUUUUACUUCUAUGUAUUGUCAUUAUAAGGUUUAACUUCUAAGACUGUUUACUAAAAAGGGCAAAGAGCAUUUUUAUAAUAUUGCAAGGUCUGUCUUAAUAACUCCAAAGACUGCUGACUUGUAACCCUGAGACUGAAUGUUUAUUACAGGAAGCUGCAUGUUAGAAUGUUUGAGGUAGAAAAUUGUGCUUGUUUGCUUCAACUUGUAAACUACGUUUUUCAUAAAAGGUUGAUUUGACUCACCAACUCUUUGAUAAUUGUCCUACCAUUUUUGACCUCACUGAUCCAGCUCUAAUUAACUCAACAAAUAAAAGAGAAUGUGCAGAUUAGUUUGGAAUUAAGGACAUAGCUGAAGGCAUUCCUUGGGAAAAGUGAUUUUGCCAACAAAAUAAAUACUCUAACAAAAGAAUGUUAAAACACCAAUACAGAUCACAUCACUCUUCAUAAAACCCCCAAACUGGAAGCUAUCCAAAUACUGCCUGACAAUAGUAGGUUGGAUAAAUAUACUGUGGUAUAUUUAUAGAAUGGAAUAUUAUAAAGAAAUGAGAAUGCUCUGCAAUCAGGCACAAUGACAUAGAUGGCUCUCAUAAACAAAAUGUUGAGCGAAAGAAGCCAGACACAAAUGAGAACAUACCAUAUGCUUUCAUUCAUUAAAAGUUCAAAAACAGACAAAAGUAAUUUAUGGUAUUGUGUUGGGAUAAUGCUUAUCUUGGGGUAGUAAGGCCUGAAAGGAGGCAUAAUGGGGGAUUCUGGAGAGCUGAUAUGGUUCUAUUUCUUGAGUUACAUAUUUAUUUGAGUAUUUUUCUAUAUGUUAUCCUUCAAUAAAUGCUAUUAAAACCCCCAUGCUAUACAGAACCUUUAUUUUCAAUGGCGUUAUCUACUUUCCAAAAGAAUUUGAGUAGUCUUUCAGAUCGAGGAAGGGUGCUAGAUGCUGCUGUGAACGUUGAUAAAAGCAGGCUCGGUCCUUAAAGACCUUGUGGUAUGAUGGGAGAGUGGCUUCAACAUAAGGUGAAUAAAGUAAGCAGAAGCUGCUCAGGUGGCGCAAAGGCGGUGCCUUACUUAGUCUGCGGAUAGGAAGGGUCAUGGAGGUCUUCCAGUAAGAGAUGAUGCUUGAGCCAUGUCUUAAAGGUUAUGUAGGCGUGAGCCAGGCAGAAAAGGAAGCAAAGGAGGAAUUUCAGAGGGAGGAAUUGUGAAUGGGCGAAUUAUCGCAGGACAUAUCUACAACUGGAUAUGGCAUGAGUGUUGCAUACAAAUAAAGAAGCAAAAAAGGUUAGCAAGGGCUUGGUCCAGAAGAAAACUGUGCUCAUGAGCUAAGGGGGUUUGGACUUUACUCUGGGAUCAAUGGGAAAUUAUUGAAAGGUUUUAAGCAGAGGAAUGCUGUGGUCCUACUGGCAUUUUUGAAUGAUCCUUCUGGUUGUGAGGAACCUGGUGGGUUCUUCUAGGUGGGUGGGUGAACUUGAACAGAUACAACAGCACUCAAACAAGAAUAAAAACAGAAGAUCUGAGAUAUAACAUGUUAUGUGGGGUGAGGCAGGGAAACAUUGGAAACACUUAUUGAGAGUCUUAUGUGAUUAAAAAAAAAAAAAAAAAACUACUCUAGGUCCCUGUGAAAGAUAUUAGCAGUCCAGGUAAGCCUACUGGUGGUCACUCAAAACAGCAGUGUUGCAAUAGUCUUUUGUUCUAGUUUUGCCCUAAGCUUAUAUCAUUUACUUAAAUAUAUCCAUGGAAGCCCUCAUUGCACAAUUGUCCCGUGAGUACAUCCAAAAAUUCUGACCAGCAGAGCUGUGAAUAAUUACAGUUGUCUCCAGUGUCUUCACUUGUUUCAGGUUCCCAGCCCAUGACCCUGUGAUUCAGUAUAGAGAUGCUUCAAGCACCUCAGGAAACAGCAGAAGCAUGUCAUCAAGUACUUUUCCACCCUCUAAAUCAGUGGGUGAAAUGUUAACCCACCAAGCUGGGGCCGUGAGUCCAGGAGGCUUGGUCUAAUUAUUUGUCCCAAUAGUACUUAGCAAGUUAUCUGUCAAAAAAUAAAUCUAGAUGAAGAUGAUUCCUGUCUCAAAUAUGAGGGAGGGUGAAAUACAGAACAACUUUUUACCCAAAGGCAAUGUUAGAAUUUACAGUUGGGUGCUCUCAUCAUCAUAUUUAGCAAAGGUUAUUAUUAUUUUUUAACAGCAAAAGAAAGACUAAUCCACAGGGUUUUAGCUAGGCAUGAUAAAGCAAAACAGAAAUUGUGGUUUUGAAAUCCAAGGCAAAUAAUGUGUUGAUUUUAAUGCUUUUGCUUACUUCUACAAACAAAAAAGUUUGCUGAGAAGUUAGUGAUGAAAAACUUCCUUAGGUGUUAGGGUAGGAAUAACAUAGCUCUUCUCAGGUGCUUUGUUCCUCUCAAAACCAGGCACUCUAUAGCCUAUCUAGGCUAAGAAAUUCUGCCCAUUCUUAUAUACCAAAAAGCAAAAUCUGCAUGGAGAAGUGUGACAUGAAUCAAUGUAUUUUUGCUAAGGAGCAUCUACCCCAUGAAGUCAUUUUUUAAUUAAGCUUUGAAUGUAGUCAGUGUUUAGUAUGCAGAAUGAGAAGGAAUCAAUGACUUACAAAAGUUGAUUUGCAGCAUGGCAUUUUGACAAUAGCUGUCAGUGGUUUAAAGAUAAUUGAGUCAACCUUCUCAUUUCCUGAUAAGAACACUGAGGCCCAGAGAGGUUAUGUCACAUGGGCCCAAGUUAACAGCAGUCAUGGGGGAGCCUGGACCCUAGUGAAGUGGCUGCUGGACCCUGGGUUAUUAGGUAUGUAAGAGUGUUAUAAAUAUUGAAGCAAGCAAGACAGAAUUUCCCCUGCUUCCCUUUCCCUUCCCCUUCCCCUUCCCUUCCCUAACCGUUUCUAACCUAAUCUUCCUA